CAGCAGCCGCGGUAAUACGAAGGGGGCUAGCGUUGUUCGGAUCUACUGGGCGUAAAGCGCACGUAGGCGGACUUUUAAGUCAGGGGUGAAAUCCCGGGGCUCAACCCCGGAACUGCCUUUGAUACUGGGAGUCUUGAGUUCGAGAGAGGUGAGUGGAAUUGCGAGUGUAGAGGUGAAAUUCGUAGAUAUUCGCAGGAACACCAGUGGCGAAGGCGGCCCACUGGCUCGAUACUGACGCUGAGGUGCGAAAGCGUGGGGAGCAAACAGGAUUAGAUACCCCAGUAGUCCCUGUCUCUUAUAC
rnacentral:rRNA from 1 species